rnacentral:rRNA from 1 species
UACGUAGGUCCCGAGCGUUGUCCGGAUUUAUUGGGCGUAAAGCGAGCGCAGGCGGCGCGCCAAGUCUGAUGUGAAACCCCGGGGCUCAACCCCGGGCAUGCAUUGGAAACUGGCGGGCUGGAGUGCCGGAGAGGUAAGCGGAAUUCCUAGUGUAGCGGUGAAAUGCGUAGAUAUUAGGAGGAACACCAGUGGCGAAGGCGGCUUACUGGACGGCAACUGACGCUGAGGCUCGAAAGCGUGGGGAGCAAACAGG